rnacentral:sRNA from 1 species
GCCUAAAUCAAAUUGGAUGUCAUUCAUCAUCGAAGCAGAGGAAAUUGGCAUGGCCAUGGAAGCAGGUAAAGAAAACUGCCCGGUUUAUUGGAGAGAUGCUUUUUGCAGCCUUAUGCCUCCCUGAACGUUUCGGUGGUACACGUAAGUAAAAACUGAAACAUUGACAACAGAAUUUGUGGUAAGAAAUGUGGAAAAGUAAAUGGCAGACAUUUCUUGAAAGACAAAGUUUCUAAAAGAGUCACGCGUGUAAUCUCUUUGAACCACCUUGGAAGCAAGUCAACAUGAUGCGCCAGUUGUUUUGGUUUAGCCAGACAGAUUGAAAGCAAGUAAAGCUGGAAACUCAAAAUGACCAUCGGAAUCAAUCAAGUUCAGUGUAAAGUUUGGCUCUAACACGGUAGCUGUCUGUUACUUAAUCUUGUUGUUUUGUUUUAGGUCUGGCGCAUUGUCAAGAUGGAAAUGUUCUCAUAGUAUGGCUA